rnacentral:rRNA from 2 species
GAUCAUAUGCUUGUCUCAAAGCUUAAGCCAUGCAAGUCUAAGUUCAGGCUCGUUCCUUUCGGGGAGCGAGCCGAAACUGCGAACGGCUCAUUAGUCAGAUAAGGUUCCUUGGCGAAAAGCGGGUCGGUUUUAAUGGAUAACUGUGGUAAUUCUAGAGCUAAUACAUGCAACGUACCGUGGUCCCCGUCGGGAAAUCUUCUCUCUCCGGCAAGGGGGAAACGGCAUUUAUUCUCUGGACAAGAUCGCCCUAGCCUGCGAAGCUGCCGUCAAAAGCGGCGACGGGGCGAAGCGACAAGUGUUGAAAUCCGAAUAACUGUGCCGAUCGCGGGGUCUUUCCGGGCCCCCGGCGACUUUGCCAUGAAGUGUCUGUCCCAUCAAUUGGCGACGGUCGGCGACCUGCCUACCACGGUGUUGACGGGUAACGGGGAAUCAGGGUUCGAUUCCGGAGAGGGAGCCUGCGAAACGGCUACCACCUCCAAGGAGGGCAGCAGGCGCGCAACUUACCCAAUCCCGACUCGGGGAGGUAGUGACGAAAAAUAACGUGGCGGGGCCACUCUUGGUCGCCGCGGGCGGAAUGAGUGCAAUUUAAAAGAGUGUGCGAGGAGCUAUUGGAGGGCAAGCCUGGUGCCAGCAGCCGCGGUAAUUCCAGCUCCAAUAGCCUAUAUCGGAGUUGCUGCGGUUAAAAAGCUCGUCGUUGGAUCUCGGAGGCGGCACGGUCGGGCGCGAUACGCUGCGGGUCCGACCGGCGAUUUCUCGGCCGUCCCUAACCGGCGCGCGGGGCGAGGUGGACUUCGCGGUCCUGCCUCGUUUUCCUCUCCUCGACGGGGAGGAAACCCGCCGCAUUCAUUGUCUACCUUGAAAAAAUUAGAGUGCUAAAGGCAGGCUAAAACCCCGAGCCUGAAUAUUUCGUGCAUGGAAUAAACGGGGAUGCUCUUUUUCCGGAGGGCGGUCCGACCGACUGGCGACGUCGCUUUCGCUGUCGGUUUCGCCGGGGAGCUAGGAUUCGAGAGGAACGGUGGGGGGCGAGCGUACCGGGCGGG